UACGAAGGGGGCUAGCGUUGUUCGGAAUUACUGGGCGUAAAGCGCACGUAGGCGGAUACUUAAGUCAGGGGUGAAAUCCCGGGGCUCAACCCCGGAACUGCCUUUGAUACUGGGUAUCUCGAGUCCGGAAGAGGUGAGUGGAAUUCCGAGUGUAGAGGUGAAAUUCGUAGAUAUUGGGAAGAACACCGGUGGGCGAAGGCGG
rnacentral:rRNA from 1 species